rnacentral:misc_RNA from 1 species
AUAGCUGGGGCUCUUGAUUCAGCACUUAGUGUUGCUGGUCUCGUCCCGGUGGCCUCUGACCAGAGGAAGCCUCAAGACUUGAUUUUGAAGCAGAGUAUUUCUCUUUUAGAGUGCUUAAGAUCUUGCUGGAGAGAUGAUGUUCUUGUCCUAUCUUGCUCAGACAGGUUCUUGCGUUUGUCUUUGCAACUUAUGUCCAGAUUCUCAAGCUGGUUAUCUGCCGGAUUGGCUGCUCGUAAAGCUGGUAAUGUGGGCUCAAACCCAGGAUUUGAAUGGGCUAUUUCUGCAGUCCCUGACGACUUAGUAUACAUAAUUCACGAUUUGAACCGUUUGGGGGAGGAAGUGUGUGGUGAUUACCUUGAACACAUACUUGAGUUGCUCAAGUCAUGCCCUGCUGAAGUUUGUGAUUUUGUAAACCAGAGUAUUUUACAAGGUGGGAAGUCCCUGAAGGGUCUUUUACCAAUUGUGAUGAGUGCAAUAAUUGAGACAAUAGUUGAGAAAUGUGUAGAGGACUUGAGGCAGUUGAAAGGGAUAACUGCUACCUACAG